CGUGUGUGCACAGAUCGCUGGACCUUACACCUACAGGUUGCCCAUUAGUCAACAACAGUUUGGUGCCACAGUCGUCUUCUUCUUUUAGCCCUACCAUACUUUUCAUUUCCACACUCAGAAAUUGUCACUGUUCCAUAGUACCUAUAAUUACUUUAACCUAUGGUUUUGUUCUUACAGUAGUAGGUCAGUUUUUACGUUCAUACGAUUCGUAAAAAAAAAAAAUUAAAACGAUGAAUGUUCGUGCUUAAAAUGUAUAACAAUAAAUAAAACUAAUGAAUAUCGCCGUCAUUCAGCUGCAUCACAUCUCCGCCGACAUACGCAACUCGACAAUUGUAAUAUGCAUCGGUUGCAGGUAAUAUUAUAUUAUAUUUUCUAAAAAUAUGUUAUAAUAAUUAUGUAUAAUAUACUAUGUACCCAUGGGUAAAAUAAAUUUGUUUUUUUCAAAACACUAUCGUGGCGAUCGUUAUUUCAAAUCGGCUCAGAUAUACUGUCGAAAUGUAACGAUUUUCUAUUUUUCGCAAUACAUAUUUUCGUAAUAUAAGGAUAUUAACAUAUUAUUAUCAUCGUAGCCAAUUCAUAGGUAUUGUGUGUUUAAUUUUCAACCGAAAUAAUUUAUUCCACUUUGAGGUUAUUACAUAUUAUACAAUUUUUUCUUACUUAUAAUAGUCCUAUGGGUAGGUAAUAAUUUAGUCCUUUAGGUACUUAAAAGUCACUAUAAGAACCUAUAGACCAUAUUUUUAUCUAUAUCUAUAGUUAUUUUUAUAUUUCAACAAGUUUUGUAGAAUAUAAAACUAUGUAACUAUUUAUAACUGUAUUUUUCGAACAGAC